rnacentral:lncRNA from 10 species
AUGAACAACACACAUAUAUAGGCCACCUGCCCAAGUGAACUUUCAGGGUGUUUUCCAGUUGCUUCCAGUCUAGGUUCUCUCUUGAAUGCAUUUAUGUCAUUUCCUGACCCAUUCCUUGAGUGACUCAACAAGUCAUUUUUUUUGGUCUCCUCUGAUGAAUCAGCCCCCAAAACCCCUACUGAGUAGCUUUCUGAACACCUUGAUAGGUUACCUUUGGGACUCUUUCUCAGGCUAUGCCUCAGACCCUUCCCUAGGUCAUUCUGAAACUUGGCGGGGGGCCCCUCAUAUGGAAGCUUCUUGGGUGCCCAAUCAAUUCUUCCUUAGACCCUUGCUGCUUUGACCCAUAAGUACCUUGAGGGCUGUAAGAAUCUAUGAUUGUUCCUUAGCUGAGAUGUGUCUGUUAUUUGCCCUGAGGCUGCAUCGGCACCAAAAGCUCUUGGAUCCUCUAGGCCAGGACCCACUAGUGCUACAUGAGCCUCUUUCAAAAGCAGUGCUCUAGUUGGUUCCAAAUAUUAUUGCUUAUAGGAAAUUCUCUAGGAAGAAUAGAAAAUGGCACAUAGUCCUGGGAGGCCAGGCUGUACUGAACAAGGUUGGGAGAUGGAAGACAAAAUUCUUCCUAAGAUCUCUGAAUUACAGAGUAAAAACUAGAAAUUCUCAACAAAUGUUGAGCUUCAAUUGGGGUGACAGACUAUACCUCAUUCUGCGUCCUAGGAAAGGAUACCCCAGAAGCCUUAAUCUGGGGUGAAAAAGAAAGUAAUAGGAGCAGGAAUGAGGAUUGAAGGUGGGCCCAAGGUAGGUGCUGGGAUGAAACAGAGUUUGGGGCUGGGGGAGCAGUGGGGAACCUUUAGCCUGUAUUUAAACCAGAAAGUGAAAGUGGGCAUUAGAGAUUCUACUGACUAAAACAAAGAGAGACUCCAGUGCAAAAUAAUCACCAGAAGUCAGGACAGUAGCCACCAGGGCCUCACUGUGCAGAGGUGAGACUCCAGGAGAGAUGGUUCCAUCCCCCAAGAUUUUGGAAUUUGGGAGCUGCUGAGGAUGUGCAGCUGCUCUGGUUUGUCUUUGGUGCUCCACAGUGGUUGGGAGCCUAUGUUGUCCUGUAUGCCAGCAAGUGACUCUAAAAUAGUUCCAGAAAAAUUUAUGUAUAUACCCCUCCAGCAAAGACUGGUAGACUCAUUGGGUGCAAUCACUUAAUGAAACCUCUGUCUAGUCUUUGGCUAAGCUAGCCAAGCAGACACUUCAGUGGCCACACACAACAAAAAAAAAUACACAAUUUACACAAUUAGUAAAGUCACGACACAAGCAAACAACAAUGACAAAUAGCAACAACAAAGCUUGGGGUCGGGGUGGGGAGUCUGAUUUCCAGAAAUGCCACAUUAUACUUGCCAGGCCUCUGAGCCCAAGCUAAGCCAUCAUAUCCCCUGUGACCUGCAUGUACACAUCCAGAUGGCCGGUUCCUGCCUUAACUGAUGACAUUCCACCACAAAAGAAAUGAAAGUGGCCUGUUCCUGCCUUAACUGAUGACAUUAUCUUGUGAAAUUCCUUCUCCUGGCUCAUCCUGGCUCAAAAGCUCCCCUACUGAGCACCUUGUGACCGCCCCCCCUGCCCGCCAGAGAACAACCCCCCUUUGACUGUAAUUUUCCUUUACCUACCCAAAUCUUAUAAAACGGCCCCACCCCUAUCUCCCUUGGCUGACUCUCUUUUCGGACUCAGCCCGCCUGCACCUAGGUGAAAUAAACAGCCUUGUUGCUCAC